GCCCCUCGCAAACAGCUGACAUUAUCUCCUGGAGUCACUGUGAAUCAGCAGGGGGAGGUGGGAAGGAAGCGGAUAGGACCGUGUGCUCACUGCAGCGCUCUGCUCAAGGGCACACUUCAGUCUCCCGUCCGCGCUCGUCUGUCAGUCGCCGCUCGGCCCUCGCUUCCUGACGGGACCGGCCAUAAAAGUUCACACAUCAACACGCCGCAGCGAUCACACAGGCGCAGCCGUGGUGAAUCAGCCUCAACCGGCGCUGGAGCCAGGUUGGUGAACCCUGUGAUCAUAGGGAGGAGAAAACCACAUGUACUGAGUCAAACAGGACCGCUUCCACUUUAUCUGGUCCCCCAGUGUGUGUGUGUGUGUGUGUGUGUGUGUGUGUGUGUGUGUGUGUGUGCACUGAAACAGAUUUAAAUUUGUCUGAGGAGCAUGGAGGUGGAUCUUCUGCAGACAUGCCCAGGCAGUGACUCAGUGUGGAACCGGGCGUCUGCAUUUGCUAAAGGAGGAUCAGGCGUGUCCAUGAGUGCUUGUGGCAAAGCGCAGCACAUCCGGAGAGAGUGGGACCGCGUGAUGGGAUUUCUGGAGUGAGAUGGAGCAGUGCAGCCUUGGGGUCAUGGGUGUGACGGAACAGCAGGUGGAAGGACCAGAAAGGCCCGGAGUCGGUAGUCGUGUCGGGGCACGAGGCUGUGAGUCACAGCACACAAAGCAGAGGCCGAUACAGAACAAGUGGAUUCAUGGAGUCACAGUAGAAAAUAAAUGUCAGAGGUUAAUAAUAUAUCUACUAAGUUAUUUGGGAAUACUG